rnacentral:lncRNA from 1 species
UUUAAUAUUUACGGUGUUGUGAAAACUUAGGUUAGAGGAACCAUAGAAUAAGUUGGAUUGUUUGUUGUAUUUAAUGAUUAGCCUUGUAAUGUUGUUAGAAUAGAUUUGUUAGUGAAUUUAUAUAUUAGAAUUAUGAGGUGUGAAAGCUAUUAAUGGUGUGCUCUUAUAUUUAUUUAUGAUGGAUUAGAAUUGGUAUUUGUUAAUAAGGAUGUAGAGUUGUGUUGUGGUGGUAUUGUAUAUGCUGUAACUAAUUAUGUAAUGAUCGGAAUUGCAUGAGACCAAGUUUGGGAUAAACUUGGGAAUAUAAGGAACUAAACUGGAAAUUUUGGGACCUUUUUGUUAAAUAUACAAUUUAUGGCAAAUUUUUAAAGUUAGAUUGUUAAAUCUGUCCAGCAGCAGAAAAGAUCAAACAGGCAGCAACUUGUUUGUCUUGCUGCGACUUUUACGAGUUGAGUUUUGGAGCGAAACCAAUUUUGUUAUAAAAUUUGAUUAACUUUCUUUAGUUCUCUAAAAUUUCAGAAUUUUAAGAGUUGAGGAUUGGGAGCUGUGAAUUUUUGAAUAUUGGUGGUCAAAACUAAAAAGAAACAGAUUUCAGCAAACUAUGCAUCAACUUCCAAUGCUUGUAACUCUUAGAAUUAAAUAGAAAUUGGGUUGCAACCAAGACACACUUGUUUUUAGAUGAGCUAGGGGUUCUCAAAUCAAAAUUUAGCUUAAUUGGAGUUUUGUAAUAAAAGUUAUUCCAAUUGAAAGGUACUAAGCUUGUUGGUUUUUAAAACAGGUUUUGUCUCAUUUUUACUUAACUUCCAGGUAAUGUAACUUUUUCAUUAAAAAUGGUAUUGACA